rnacentral:rRNA from 1 species
CGUUCCCGGGCCUUGUACACACCGCCCGUCAAGCCAUGGAAGCCGGGAGUACCCGAAGUCACUUUGUCAACCCGCAAGGGAGACGGGUGCCUAAGGUAAAAUCGGUGACUGGGGCU